rnacentral:rRNA from 1 species
GACGAACGCUGGCGGCGUGCUUAACACAUGCGAGUCGAACGGAAAGGCCUGCUUUCCCUUGUGGAUUGCGGGUACUCGAGUGGCGAACGGGUGAGUAACACGUGAGUGAUCUGCCCCCAACUUGGGUAUAAGCCUGGGAAACUGGGUCUAAUUCCCGAUAGGACUGCAGGGUGGUGCCUGUGGUGGAAAACGAUUUUCUAGUGGUUGGGGAUGAGCUCGCGGCCUAUCAGCUUGUUGGUGGGGUAAUGGCCUACCAAGGCGGCGACGGGUAGCCGGCCUGAGAGGGUGGACGGCCACAUUGGGACUGAGAUACGGCCCAGACUCCUACGGGAGGCAGCAGUGGGGAAUAUUGCACAAUGGGCGGAAGCCUGAUGCAGCGACGCCGCGUAGGGGAUGACGGCCUUCGGGUUGUAAACUCCUUUCGACCGCGAGGAAGCCACCUGGUUGGAAGGGUGGUGACGGUAGUGGUAGAAGAAGCACCGGCUAACUACGUG